rnacentral:rRNA from 1 species
UACGUAGGGAGCAAGCGUUGUCCGGAAUUAUUGGGCGUAAAGCGCGCGUAGGCGGUUACUCAAGUCGGAUGUGAAAGCCCUCGGCUUAACUGAGGAAGUGCACCCGAAACUGAGUAGCUAGAGUACUAAAGAGGGUCGCGGAAUUCCCGGUGUAGAGGUGAAAUUCGUAGAUAUCGGGAGGAACACCGGUGGCGAAGGCGGCGACCUGGGUAGAUACUGACGCUGAGGCGCGAAAGCGUGGGGAGCAAACAGG